AAAAUACUCCAUCCGUCCGGAAUUACUUGUUCUAAAAAUGGAUGAACCUAGACUUAUUUUAGUUAUAGAUAUAUCCAAUAUCAAUAUCUAGGUUCAUCCAUUUUUAGGACAAGUAUUUCAGGACGGAGGGAGUAAGAG
rfam:Hordeum vulgare subsp. vulgare, WGS project CAJW01000000 data, contig: morex_contig_157057